GUCCAGUCUGGUGUGAGUCGCACACAAACCCGGAGCUGCGACAGCUGGAGAAUUGAGUGUGAGUGACGGGGCCACGAGCCAAUAGGAGGAAGGAGCGCAAGAGAGGGCGGGGCGUGGAGUGAGGCGAGUUAUUGCACCUCUACUGGAGAACUGGGGGAUCACUACUUCUGUUGCAUCUGCUGUUUGUCUAAAGAGAGGGACGCCAUUGCCAAAAAUAAGGCAAUCAACCUCACCCUUGCUGAGCAGGAGAAAAAAAAGUAAAGUUGCUUUUAUAAGGCACGGCAGAAAGUAGAAAGACAAUGUUUAUGGAGCAGCUGAGAAUGAUUCAUGGAAGCAGAUAC